rnacentral:rRNA from 1 species
GAUCCUGGCUUAGGAUGAACGCUAGCGGCAGGCUAACACAUGCAAGUCGAGGGGCAACGCGAGUAGCAAUACUUGGCGGCGACCGGCGCAAGGGUGCGUAACGCGUGAGCAACAUGCCCGUAUCAGGGGGAUAAUCCAGGGAAACUUGGUCUAAUACCCCAUAGUAAUUUUGUAAGGCAUCUUAUAAGAUUUAAAGCUUUGGUGGAUACGGAUUGGCUCGCGUGACAUUAGCUGGAUGGUAAGGUAACGGCUUACCAUGGCUAUGAUGUCUAGGGGUUCUGAGAGGAAGGUCCCCCACACUGGAACUGAGACACGGUCCAGACUCCUACGGGAGGCAGCAGUGAGGAAUAUUGGACAAUGGAUGGAAAUCUGAUCCAGCCAUGCCGCGUGAAGGAAGAAGGUCCUAUGGAUUGUAAACUUCUUUUGUAUGGGAGCAAUAAGGCCUACGAGUAGGUUGAUGAGAGUACCAUACGAAUAAGCACCGGCUAACUCCGUGCCAGCCGCAGC